rnacentral:rRNA from 1 species
AGAGUUUGAUCAUGGCUCAGGAUGAACGCUAGCGGGAGGCUUAAUACAUGCAAGUCGAGCGGUAACAGGGAUUUCGGUCUGCUGACGAGCGGCGCACGGGUGAGUAACGCGUACGCAAUCUACCCUACAGAGGGGGAUAGCCCUGGGAAACUGGGAGUAAUCCGCCAUGGUUUUAUUGAAUCGCAUGGUUUAAUAAAUAAAGUUGAGGCGCUGUAGGAUGAGCGUGCGUAUGAUUAGCUAGUUGGUGAGGUAACGGCUCACCAAGGCGAUGAUCAUUAGGGGGCGUGAGAGCGUGGUCCCCCACACGGGUACUGAGACACGGACCCGACUCCUACGGGAGGCAGCAGUAAGGAAUAUUGGACAAUGGGCGAAAGCCUGAUCCAGCCAUCCCGCGUGCAGGAUGAAGGCCCUCUGGGUUGUAAACUGCUUUUAGUAGGGAAGAAACCCCUGGUUUUAACUGGGGCUGACGGUACCUACAGAAUAAGCACCGGCUAACUCCGUGCCAGCAGCCGCGGUAAUACGGAGGGUGCAAGCGUUGUUCGGAAUUACUGGGCGUAAAGGGCGCGUAGGUGGCCUGUUAAGUCGAACGUGAAAUCCCCGGGCUCAACCCGGGAACUGCGUCCGAUACUGGCUGGCUUGAAUCCGGGAGAGGGAUGCGGAAUUCCAGGUGUAGCGGUGAAAUGCGUAGAUAUCUGGAGGAACACCGGUGGCGAAGGC